UUAAGUCUUUAUCAAACUAAUAACAAAUGUAAUGGAAAAAUCUCAAUACAAACGAAAUGAAUACUCCCAAGGAAUUUGAGUAGAGGAACAGAUAAAGCAUUCAAAUAACGGAGACCAACUAAAACAAACAUUGACACAACAGCCGAGCGAGUUGAGAAUAGCAACGCCUUUUGAAUGCAACUGAUUUCCGUAUAUGAAAUGCAAAAUUAGCUCAAAUAAGAUUAGCCCACAACCUCUGGUUUUCCCCACUUUCGCUUCUCAAAUGUUUGAAACAAGCACAAAUCGUUUGGCAUCAAAAUCCUACGAUCCAGAUUUAAUAAUCAAUUACUACUAAUUUCAGCUCAAGUAAUUAGUCAGAGAAAUAGCUAAACAGGGACGACAAUGCAAAUCCGACGAUUAAUUCACGAGGAACCAGGCGUAAUAAACAUCUAGCAAAAAUACACUCGAACAAAGAAUGAUUCCUAUUUUAACAUUCAAGCCAAAGUGAGCAACAAACUAACAUAGAUAAAAAUAUGUUCGGAUUCGGCGAUGCAUCUUCGGAAUUAAUCCAGAAAUAUGGCUUGAGUAACUCAAAUCUUCAUUCAUAGAUUUAAAGAGAAAAAUAGAUGACUGUCUACAUAUCUGAAUGCAGUGAAAUCAACAAAAUCCGACCAAAUGAACGGCAAUGGAAACUAAACACGAAGCUCAGUCCAGCAGACAUAGCAAAAUCAGCAGAUCCGGACAAGGAGCAACAUCACUCAACAGUAGAACUCGAUCAAAUAAAAGUCACUUAGCUGAGUAACACAACCGGAAAUAGCUAUUUCUUCCAACUAAAACAAAAUUCAGGAUCCAGAAACUAUGCAACAGGGGAUUGAAGUUGAAGUCGACUUCUCUCUGUUUUUAGUUUUGAUUUUUUUUUUUAAAGAAUACUUGGCGCUUCAGAUCUAGAGUUUUUGAUUUUUCAAUUUCUGAACUCUUUUUAGCUCUCUCGUGAUUGAAGUUGAGAGUCGAAGAAAAUGGGAGGGGGUUGCGUUGUUUCUCUCUCUAAGGGUCGUUUGGAUUGAAUGCCCCUUGUAUUGAGAUAAGUUAUAAUGGGAAAAUUUAUGCUGUGAUUAGUUAUGGUGAGAUUAGUUAUGCUGG
rnacentral:lncRNA from 1 species